CAUAACGUAAUCUUUUACAUAAGUAAAUUGGUCUUGCUUUCCUCUCGUUGAUCAGGCUUCCUUUAUAGAGAUGGCAGCCUGGGCCUCUGAGAUCGAGGAAAAGAAAUCCCUUUUCUUUCAACAGGUGCCCAAAACUUUUUUUUUUUCUUGAAUGAUUAACACACCUGAGGAGGUAGCCAGGAGGUGCAGGGUCUCAGAAGUCACGGUCCUUGGAGUAUUUAAAAGACAUGUGCCUUUUUGAUCUUUAAAUUGGUCUUGGAGAGUGGGAUUAAUAAUUCAAAUAUUGCCUCAGUGUGAUUGAUUCAGCACUACUUUUAGGGGUAGAUGUUGAAAACUCUAAUUCCACAACACUAUACAUCCAAUCACUCCAAUUUAAUUUCUGCUUCUUUUAGGCUGUUUAGUUCUUUUCUAAGUAAGCUAGAAACAGAAAAUGGGUGAGUCCCUUAAAUCCCUCACUCAAUAAAGUUGGUGCCAUCGGGGAUUGGAGUACAGAUGAUGUAGAUUACGACCCACUGAUACAUUGGCAGCUCAAGCAUGGUCACAUGACCGGAAGCCACAGGCAGCCUGGUGUACCUGGAAGUCCAUCCGUCCAGGAGAGAUGGGUAGCAAGGGCUGAGGAGACCUCUGGGGACAUCCAAGGCAGGAUGGCUGGAGAGCCAGUGUCAGGCCAGACAGUGCAGAGGCCGCACUGCUUACCUGGCUCGGUUCUUGGUGACUGUGAAGAGAUGCUCUGUUGACCUCUCCACUCUGUAGAAGAGCAUCCGCUGGAGCUCAGAAAAGGAUACCUCAGAGGAAGGGCCUCCUGAUUUCACCCUCGUUCUUCUCUGAGACAAGGACCAAAAGGACCAGAAUUUCUUCUCCUCAAGUGAGCCACAGGAACAAGAACCUCCAUCCCUAAAGCCAAGGGCUAAAAUUUACCCAUUACUGUUUCCUGCUUAUCCGUAAGCGUUGGCCAUAAAGAAAUUUUUGGCUGACGUUGUCUGAAUGUAGGUCCCACAUUACAGAAAGGAUCUUGUCCCACGAUGUGGGUGGAAAAGAAGCAGCUGAUUCCCCCAAUUCAGAACUACUUUUACACCCUGUGAGGAACCCAGAAAUGGUUAAAGAACACAUUCCAGUUGGUGGUGUUGAUAGAGUCGACGUGUCCAUCGGGACAGACCACGAGCGGGUGAGCAGAUGCUGGGUCACACUGGCUGUGGGCUGCAUGGAAUCUGCCGCUGGACCCCCUCAGCUGAAUCCACUGAGGAGCCUAGACUGCCAGAGGAUGAUCUUCCAAAAGGGGAAAAAUCUCCAGUAUCCUUCAAAGUGAAGACUGACCAGGUAUGAAGGGCGUUCCCCAAGGGAACCAUACUUAUAACUUGGUGAAGAAUGAACGGGUAUUGGUCAGGAAUAUUGGAAUGAAUUUGCAAAUGGAUACAAACUAGCCUUUCCACACACAACAAGGAAAGUCUUGUCUCAACCACAGAGAACCUAUUUGUGCAUCUGCGAUCAAGAAUUGUUUGCAAGACUGUUUGUUCUCCUGGGACAUCAGAAUAGCCAGGCCGGAUCACUGUGGGAGGAGCCAGCAUUCCACAGAAAGGGUGGUUAGUGCUUUCCUGCUGACUUCAAAGACUUAAUUUUUAUAGUCCUGACUCAAAUCAACAGCGAUGCAUUUUUCCACAAUGAGAGGCUCACACAGUAAUGCUUAAGUACAUACCCCACAGUCUCUCGGCCCCUAGGCCUGGAGCCUAGUCCUACAGCUUUGGGAGAGUGGCUCAAUCCGGAAUCAACAACCAGCAGCCCAAGAACUACAUCCAGCCCACUGCACUGCCUGCUUUUGAAAAGUUCUUCAGGAAGUUGUAGCUCAGUCAGUGGUAGAGCUCUCGGCUAACAUGCACAAACAUGCAGCGUUCAAUGUUCAGCACAGCAAGAGAGCAGACAAAAACCAUCCCAAACACCAAUACAGGUAGUGCCUUGGCUGCUGAUUCCCAUUUGCCAUCCUGACGUAGAGAACUGGACUGACUGCUGGUGCAUCCGUGAGUGUCUGUGAGAGAAUGGAGCUGCCACUGCCUGCUGACCUGUGAACAGAACUGCCAAUUUCCAGACAACACAGAAUGAGCUGCUCCCAAGAACCUUUCUAAACAGGCCAUAGCCCAUUUAUUGAGGGGAGGGGGUCGCAGUGAGAACUCAAGCCGCCGGUCUCAGGACAUUCAGUCAAGAGCAAGGAGGCAAGUGUAUUGGUGCUGCCAGUUUGCUUGCUCUCCGAUAGUUUGCUCCCUUUGUUCUUACGCAGGUCACUGUCCUGCUCCUGAGCAGGUGCUGCCCACGUCUGAGGUCAGAAAACAAAGCCCCAAAGAGUAGGGCUGUGGAGACAGCACAGUCAACAACACGUUCGGGUUGCAAUCUGAGAACCUGGGCUCAAUGCCUAGAUGAAAAAGCCAGACUCGGUGGCUCACGCUUGUAAUCCCAGUGCUGGGGAGACAGGGACACAUGGAUCCCUGAGGCGCACUGGCCAACUUGGCCUACUUGCUGCAGAGACGGGAAUUCUCAAAGAAAAGAAACAAUCCAAAAAGUCAUGUUUUCCUCUGGCAGCCCACAAGACAGGGACAAGACAGAUACACAAACAGAAAGACACAAGCACUCGGGGUUAAAGGAAGACAUAUUUAAAGGAUGACGGAAUGCAGAAGAUGCAACAGUAUCAACCGGGAGAGACCAGCUGUAUCUUCUGGGGCCAGGUGCUGGGCUCCCUUCCUGUUUCUCUAUCUCUUGAUUUUUCAAGCAGAACACAGUAAUUGACAGUAAUUUGCAUCCUUCCAAGUUUGGGCCUUUUAUCUGCGACUCUAUUGUGCUGUCUGUAAGGUAUGCACGAGGCCUGAGGAGGACUCCUAGCUGUCUCCUCUGUGAUUUGGCAUUGCUUGGGGCUUCAUUAAGAGCAUAACUAUGCUGACGCUGCUGCAGCGAGGACCACAAAUGGGCUAGGGAAAGCAGUUGUUAAAAUAUAAAAAUGCAAUAAAGAAGUCAUGGGUGUUUUUCCACUAAUCAAAUUAUAUGCCGACUUACAUCUUAAGCAGCGACUUAUUAAAGGGGGUUCAAUUACACCUCCUUUCACAGUGCAGACAGUUCUUUAGCCACAAUUAUUUGUUGCUGGAAAAUUACAUUCACGAGUAAUUACAUCCGCGCGUGUUUAAUUGCAGGCUGAAAAAUGAAGAGUGAGCAGUUAAUUAUUUCUCAGAUGUCUGAUGCUACUUGUCAUUAGUUGGUUUGGCGCAGAUGAUUACACCAACUGUGCUUCGCCGACAAAGGGCGGUGGCCCAGGUGACAUAGCCCAGUAGGUGUGGACAUCCAGGGUGAACCCUUUGUCACCUCUGCCAGAGUCCCUCCUCUCUAAAGUCAGCAAGCACAUACUGUGCCUACCUUUUACUCUGUACAUGGAAGGUUCUUUCUGUGCUUCUCUUUGCUUCUGUUGUUCUGAUCUCUUUAGGAAUCAUCUUGCUGUCCAUCCUAUGGGGUUGCAAACCCCU
rnacentral:sRNA from 1 species